rnacentral:rRNA from 1 species
CGCGAAAGCGUAUCUAAUACCGCAUACGCCCUUCGGGGGAAAGCGGGGGACCUUCGGGCCUCGCACUAUUAGAGCGGCCGAUAUCGGAUUAGCUAGUUGGUGUGGGGUAACGGCUCACCAAGGCGACGAUCCGUAGCUGGUUUGAGAGGACGACCAGCCACACUGGGACUGGAGACACGGCCCAGACUCCUACGGGAGGCAGCAGUGGGAAUUUUGACAAUGGGAAACCCUGAUCCAGCCAUCCCGCGUGUGCGAUGAAGGCCUUCGGGUUGUAAAAGCACUUUUGGCAGGAAAGAAACGGCACGGGAUAAUACCCGUGCAACUGACGGUACCUGCAGAAUAAGCACCACAACUACGCCAGCAGCCGCGGUAAUACGUAGGUGCAAGCGUUAAUCGGAAUUACUGGGCGGAAGCGUGCGCAGGCGGUUCGGAAAGAAAAAGAUGAAAUCCCAGAGCUUAACUUUGGAACUGCAUUUUUAACUACCGAGCUAGAGUGUGUCAGAGGAGGUGGAAUUCGCGUGUAGCAGUGAAAUGCGUAGAUAUGCGGAGGAACACCGAUGGCGAAGGCAGCCUCCUGGGAUAACACUGACGCUCAUGCACGAAAGCGUGGGGAGCAAACAGGAUUAGAUACCCGGUAGUCCACGCCCUAAACGAUGUCAACUAGCUGUUGGGGCCUUCGGGCCUCCAGCGCAGCUAACGCGUGAAGUUGACCGCCUGGGGAGUACGGUCGCAAGAUUAAAACUCAAAGGAAUUGACGGGGACCCGCACAAGCGGUGGAUGAUGUGGAUUAAUUCGGAUGCAACGCGAAAAACCUUACCUACCCUUGACAUGUCUGGAAUCCCGAAGAGAUUUGGGAGUGCUCGCAAGAGAACCGGAACACGGGUGCUGCAUGGCUGUCGUCAGCUCGUGUCGAGAUGUUGGGUUAAGUCCCGCAACGAGCGCAACCCUUGUCAUUAGUUGCUACGAAAGGGCACUCCAAUGAGACUGCCGGUGACAAACCGGGAGGAAGGUGGGGAUGACGUCAAGUCCUCAUGGCCCUUAUGGGUAGGGCUUCACACGUCAUACAAUGGUCGGGACAGAGGGUCGCCAACCCGCGAGGGGGAGCCAAUCCCAGAAACCCGAUCGUAGUCCGGAUCGCAGUCUGCAACUCGACUGCGUGAAGUCGGAAUCGCUAGUAAUCGCGGAUCAGCAUGUCGCGGUGAAUACGUUCCCGGGUCUUGUACACACCGCCCGUCACACCAUGGGAGUGGGUUUUACCAGAAGUAGUUAGCCUAACCGUAAGGAGGGCGAUUACCACGGUAGGAUCUAUGACUGGGGUGAAGUCGUAACAAGGUAG